GAUGAACGCUGGCGGCGUGCCUAAUACAUGCAAGUCGAGCGAUCAGACGAGGGGCUUGUUCCCUUGAUGAUUGCGGCACACGGGAGAGUCGCACGUGGAAAACCUACCUUUAAGACUGGGAUAAAUUCGGGACACCAGAGAUAAUACCGGAUAAUAUAUUGUCGCACAUGAUUCACUAGUGAAAGACAGUUUUGCCGCUACUUAUAGAUGGAUCGGCGUCGUAUUUGCUAGUUGGGAAGGCAACGGCUUACCAAGGCAACGUUCCGUAGCCGACCUGAGAGGGGGAUCGGCCAAACUGGAACUAGACAACGGCCAAGACUCUACCGGAGGGCAGAGGAGGGGAUCCUUCGGCAAUGGGGGAAGGCCGGACGAGGCAACGCCGGGUGGGUGAGGAGGUUUUUGGGAUCGUAAAAUUCUUUGUGUAGGAAAGAACAGAUUGGGAGGUAACAGUGCACAUCUUGACGGUACCUAAUCAGAAAGCCACGGCUAACUACGUG
rnacentral:rRNA from 1 species